AUUGAACGCUGGCGGCAUGCUUUACGCAUGCAAGUCGAACGGUAACAGGCCGCAAGGUGCUGACGAGUGGCGAACGGGUGAGUAAUGCAUCGGAACGUGCCCAGUCGUGGGGGAUAACGCAGCGAAAGCUGCGCUAAUACCGCAUACGAUCUAUGGAUGAAAGCGGGGGACCGUAAGGCCUCGCGCGAUUGGAGCGGCCG
rnacentral:rRNA from 1 species